GCCGGAAAUGCCGUUGACCAAUGAGAGGCCAGCAGGGGCGGGUCAGAGCUGCUGCUGACCAAUCAGAGCCAGCAGGGGCGGGAUGGAGCUGAUCAAUCACCAAUGAGAGUCCACCGGGGGUGGGUCAGAGCUGCUGCUGACCAAUCAGAGGCUGGCAUGGGUCAGAGCUGCCGCUGACCAAUGACAGGCUGGACGGGAGUGGGACGGAGCUGCUGUUGACCAAUGAGAAACAACAGGGGGGAGGGAUGGAGCUGCAUCUGACCAAUGAGAGUCCAGAGGGGUGGGACAGAGCUACAUCUGACCAAUGAGAGGCCACCGGGGGCGGGCUGGAGCUGCCGCUGACCAAUCAGAGGCCACUGGGUGCGGGAUGGAGAUGCUGGUAACCAAUGAGAGGCCAGAGAGGGUCCAGAGUUACCUCUGACCAAUGAGAGGCUGGACGGGGGACAAAGCUGUCGCUGAGCAAUGUGAAACUACUGGGGGUGGGCCGAAGUAGUCGAUGACCAAUCAGAGGCAACCAGGGGUGGGAUGGAGCCGCAUCUGACCAAUGAGAAACCAACGGAGGCGGGAUGGAGCUGCCGCUGACCAAUGAGAAGCAAGCGGGAGUGGGACGGAGCUCCCGCUGACCAAUAAGAGGCCGGCACGGCCCAUCGCUGAGAUGGGAGCAGAGUGGAGACCUUGCAAAGCAGGGCUGCAAGGCUGCAAUACGUGGUGGUGGGACAGCCUUGGGCUUCUGCGUUUGCAUUCAUCCCACGUUUCCCAUCUCUGCCUUGCAGCUCUGCUGGUGCUGGAAGUGGACGGUAUUGCAGUCUGAAUGAAGGAGCAGCUGCUGAUGGGAGGCAGGAAGUCCAGGCUCAUGAACGCUGAGGCAUCUGCCAGUACAGCACCAGAGGAGGCAGUAGUGACGUUGGGGGGCAGUUGCAGAAGAAGAUGAGGAGUUCCCCAGCAGGAAGCCACAAACCCGGCAGGAACCUGCAGGGGAAUCGCAGCAUGUGUGGGUGCCCAGGAGGAAAUGCAGCCCCAGCGUCUGAG
ensembl:lncRNA